CGGAUUCUGGCCUUCCCGUGACGGGCCUACAUCCUGGUGGCCGUAAAUAUUCUUGAGGGAGCCGGCUCUGUGACUGGUCCUGGCCUAUCGCACCCGGCGCCCACCUGGUUAGCCAGGCUCUCAAGGAUUAGACGCCCCCACGGUCGCGCCGGGUCCGC
rnacentral:other from 1 species